rnacentral:rRNA from 1 species
UCGAUGAAGAACGCAGUGAAAUGCGAUAAGUAAUGUGAAUUGCAGAUUUUCAGUGAAUCAUCGAAUCUUUGAACACACCUUGCACCCCUUGGUAUUCCGAGGGGCAUGCCUGUUUGAGUGUCAUUAAAUCCUCAACCGCGCCGAUUGAUUUCGGUGGGGCUUGGACUUUGGAGCGUGCUGGCGAAGGUUGGCUCCUCUUUAAAUGCAUCAGCGGAAGAAACCUUUGUCUUUUCUGCCUUUGGUGUGAUAAUUGUGUUGCGCCGUGGUGGAACUUCAACGAUCUGCUUACAAUGGUCUUCAGACGAAACCUCAUGUCAUCUUGACCUCAAAUCAGGUAGGACUACCCGCUGAACUUAA